rfam:Stegodyphus mimosarum contig106976, whole genome shotgun sequence.
GCCUUCGUGGUGUAGUGGUCAGCACGCUCGACGCGUAACCGAGAGGUCCGUGGUUCGAUUCCCGGCGAAGGCG